rnacentral:lncRNA from 1 species
AAUAUAUAUAAACCUGGAACUCAAAGGAGACAGCAAGUACCUGCGGAGAUGAAAAGAUCCUGCUUGUGGAGUAAACACUUUAACUCUUUCAGGGAGAUGUGAAUUAUUCUGUUUCUCGGCAAUAGAUCAUUUAUUUGGAUAUGGAAUGAAUCUGCCUCUGGCUAGGAAUAUCAACUGCAACACAACUGAACCAACCAAUAUUAGUAGCUGAAAGAAUACUUGUCUCAUAUAAUUUAGCAGUUCUACAAACAUACUUAUACUUUUAAAUUUCACAAUCAACAGCAAUUGAGUAAAUUGAUCAAACGAUGAAUGAUCAGUGGAUGAACAAGGUUCUGCUGACUUCUAUUGAUGAAAUUGAGGCCGUUUCCACCAUGGAGCAACCUGCUGCUUCUACCCUGAUUGAUUUUUGUAUUCGACUGCUCACCAGGGAGUACCUAGUAGAAUCUCUUCAGGAAGAGGGAGGAAAGCCAAAAGGAGAGGUGGCAUCUGCACUGGUCUGAACGGCCCUGAAGCUCCAGCUGGGACCGAGCCAGCUGUGGAAAAGCACGCGAUGGCAACAUCACGAACGUUGCUUCAGGAAGAGUCGGUCAUCCUUUAUGUUGUGCAGACAGCACAGAAUAUGGCUAAAGGCUACUGGAACCAUUGAAUGACUCAGUGACAAAAGACAUCAACGGUUGAUCAAAUCAAUUAGCUACUUUUCUCAGCUUAAAAUAUUCCCUUUCCCACCAGUUAUGUUUUGCUGUGUCAAAUGCACAUUUCUGUACCACGGCACUAAGAUUCUGAGUCUGUCUGUGAGGCACAGGUCUUAGUAGUUCAACAACAACGACAGCGACAGCAAAGUACUCAGAUGAUUUUUAAGACCAGGUUAGAUUGAGGACCCAUACUACAAGACAACUCUGGAGGCCUUACUGUGUUCAUUCAUUUUUCUGCCACAAAAGAGAAUGCUCUGGAGAGAAGAAACCAGCAAGGAGUAGGUCUGCUCCUUAUUGUAAUGAUUGGACCACCUCAACCACCUCAUGCAAAACUUUGGCAGAGUCAGUGGCCUCGGACUUCACAGUAUUUGAAAAUACUGAAUGAUUUUGGAUGAAAAAUGCUUCUUUUACUUCUUCUGUUACAGACCUGAAA